UUUAAAAUAAUAAUGUUAAAAUAAUUCUGUUGAAAAAAAAAUAGCUGAGAAAAAUACAUUUUUAAUUCGAAUUAUGAAAACAUACAAUGUUUAUUAUCAUAAAUUAUACUAGAUUUUCUAAUAGGUCAGGUUUUUUUAUUUUGAAAUGUAGGUUUUAAAUUAUAUGAUUUAAGAGACAUUUAUUGUAAAAUUAUUUGUUUUUUUAUUUAUUUAAGAACUAAAAGUAAAGGGAUUUUAGUGUAAUAACGUGUGUUUAGCAAGCAGAUUUUUCCACUAGCAAUAUUUAGCUUUAAUACUAACUAUAUGAUACUCAAAAUCUUCAUGUUAAUUUUGAUAAAAAAAAUUAGGUUUUUUCUUGAACCCUUUUAAUGAAAUACUUCAUAAUGUAUUAUGCAAAACUAUGCUCAAGGAAUGUAUUUAAUAUGCAUUAUAUGGAAAAGAACAUGUUAAGAUUCAGUAUUUACCAGCUCUAACAAAGAGACCAUUCAAACUUCAGGAAUUAUACAUCAAUGCAGAAUAGUUCAAAAAAUAAAAGUUGGGCCUUUAUUUUCAUGUCCUAGCUGCAAGUUUACAUCCUCAAUCUGUUGCAUAAUGGAGAGACACUGUUAUUCCUGUGAUGGAAGAAACACUGUUUGUUUUUGUUGUGGUAAAAGUUUUAUUUCAUUUUCAUCUUUGCAAACACAUAUAUUUGUGCACAUGGGAGAAAGGCCUCUUCAUUGCGAGAAGUGUUUCAAAACAUUUUGCUCAAAGACUUCGUUAAUGACACACGUAAAUGAACAUUUCCGUAAACCUUGUUACGCAUGCAGGAAAUGUGGCUCAAGUUUUUAUAAUGUAACACAUUUCUUUGCUCAUUCUUUGAGCUGUACAGUACAUAAAAACAGAUUAUUUAGUAUUAAUACUGCAACUAAGUAGUUUGUUAAAUCGUUAUUUGUUUGUACAAAAUCUAAUAUUUAUUUAUCAUUUGUUGCUUAUUAGAUCACAUAUGACACAAAGUUGUGUACACAUUUUUGUUAACACUUUACGUAUUUUAUUUAUUAGUAAUUUAUUGUUUAUUGUUCUGCUUUUGUUUGAUGCAAAAAUAAAAAUAUUCUCAUCUUAAUGUUUCACACAUAACAUGGGAUAAUGAUCUAACUAUCAAUUUUCUGAGAUUUAUAAUGACUUGCUUUUUGAAAAGCACAAAAAAAGUUAAAUUUUCUCCUUUUUUAAAGGUGUUUUAUUUUUAAGUUUAUCUUUUCUGUCUCAGAAUGAUUAUUUAUUUCCGUAACUUUACUGUUAUGUUUCUUGUGUAACAUGGAAUGCCCACAAACUUUCUGAGAUUUCUAUGACUUUUCUUUUCAAAAUUGCAAAACGUCCUACUUUCUAAUGGUGUUUUUUUGUUUUAUAUUUUUUCAGUUUCAGAAUAACCAUUUCUUUCAGUAGCAUUGUUGCUGUAAUUUUUAGCCAGAUUUUCAUUUUUUGUGGUAACGAGUAAUUUUUUAAAAUUAAAUUUAAUUUAAACCUUUGAAUACUUUUAUCAACAUUUAACAUUAAUCAUUAUACUAUCGCUUGUACCCAAGUCCCUUUUAAUGUUUUUUUUUAAAAAGAAAAUGUGAUUUUUAAAUUUUAAUUGUCUAAUUUUGCAUUUUAAUAUUUUCUUAUAAAAUUGUCUCUAUUGCCAUAAGAAAAGUAAUCUUAUGACUACAGAAAAAAAAAGAUAUAUAUUGGCUUCCUUGUCUAACUGUUGUUGCUUUAAUUAUUUUAAAUAUCAUUCAUUCCAUAAUUCUUUAUAUAUUUAUAAAAGAGAAGUUUGAUAUUAAAUGUAUAAGCUAAAAUUUAUUUAAUAAAAAUAAUAACUCCUGAU